rnacentral:rRNA from 1 species
GACGAAGGGGGCAAGCGUUGUCCGGAAUCAUUGGGCGUAAAGCGCGUGUAGGCGGCCCGGUAAGUCCGCUGUGAAAGUCGGGGGCUCAACCCUCGAAUGCCGGUGGAUACUGUCGGGCUAGAGUGCGGAAGAGGCGAGUGGAAUUCCUGGUGUAGCGGUGAAAUGCGCAGAUAUCAGGAGGAACACCAAUUGCGAAGGCAGCUCGCUGGGACGUGACUGACGCUGAGACGCGAAAGCGUGGGGAGCAAACAGG